GACGAACGCUUGCGGCGUGCUUAACACAUGCAAGUCGAACGGAAAGGCCCUGCUUUUGUGGGGUGCUCGAGUGGCGAACGGGUGAGUAACACGUGAGUAACCUGCCCUUGACUUUGGGAUAACUUCAGGAAACUGGGGCUAAUACCGGAUAGGAGCUCCUGCUGCAUGGUGGGGGUUGGAAAGUUUCGGCGGUUGGGGAUGGACUCGCGGCUUAUCAGCUUGUUGGUGGGGUAGUGGCUUACCAAGGCUUUGGCGGGUAGCCGGCCUGAGAGGGUGACCGGCCACAUUGGGACUGAGAUACGGCCCAGACUCCUACGGGAGGCAGCAGUGGGGAAUAUUGCACAAUGGGCGGAAGCCUGAUGCAGCAACGCCGCGUGCGGGAUGACGGCCUUCGGGUUGUAAACCGCUUUCGCCUGUGACGAAGCGUGAGUGACGGUAAGGGGUAAAGAAGCACCGGCUAACUACGUGCCAGCAGCCGCGGUGAUACGUAGGGUGCGAGCGUUGUCCGGAUUUAUUGGGCGUAAAGGGCUCGUAGGUGGUUGAUCGCGUCGGAAGUGUAAUCUUGGGGCUUAACCCUGAGCGUGCUUUCGAUACGGGUUGACUUGAGGAAGGUAGGGGAGAAUGGAAUUCCUGGUGGAGCGGUGGAAUGCGCAGAUAUCAGGAGGAACACCAGUGGCGAAGGCGGUUCUCUGGGCCUUUCCUGACGCUGAGGAGCGAAAGCGUGGGGAGCGAACAGGCUUAGAUACCCUGGUAGUCCACGCUGUAAACGGUGGGUACUAGGUGUGGGGUCCAUUCCACGGGUUCCGUGCCGUAGCUAACGCUUUAAGUACCCCGCCUGGGGAGUACGGCCGCAAGGCUAAAACUCAAAGGAAUUGACGGGGCCCCGCACAAGCGGCGGAGCAUGCGGAUUAAUUCGAUGCAACGCGUAGAACCUUACCUGGGUUUGACAUGGAUCGGGAGUGCUCAGAGAUGGGUGUGCCUCUUUUGGGGUCGGUUCACAGGUGGUGCAUGCCUGUCGUCAGCUCGUGUCGUGAGAUGUUGGGUUAAGUCCCGCAACGAGCGCAACCCUUGUUCACUGUUGCCAGCACGUUAUGGUGGGGACUCAGUGGAGACCGCCGGGGUCAACUCGGAGGAAGGUGGGGAUGACGUCAAGUCAUCAUGCCCCUUAUGUCCAGGGCUUCACGCAUGCUACAAUGGCUGGUACAGAGAGUGGCGAGCCUGUGAGGGUGAGCGAAUCUCGGAAAGCCGGUCUCAGUUCGGAUUGGGGUCUGCAACUCGACCUCAUGAAGUCGGAGUCGCUAGUAAUCGCAGAUCAGCAACGCUGCGGUGAAUACGUUCCCGGG
rnacentral:rRNA from 1 species